rnacentral:rRNA from 1 species
CAGCAGCCACGGUAAUACGGAGGAUCCAAGCGUUAUCCGGAAUCAUUGGGUUUAAAGGGUCCGUAGGCGGUCUUGUAAGUCAGUGGUGAAAGCCCAUCGCUCAACGGUGGAACGGCCAUUGAUACUGCAGGACUUGAAUUAUUGGGAAGUAACUAGAAUAUGUAGUGUAGCGGUGAAAUGCUUAGAGAUUACAUGGAAUACCAAUUGCGAAGGCAGGUUACUACCAAUUGAUUGACGCUGAUGGACGAAAGCGUGGGUAGCGAACAGGAUUAGAGACCCGUGUAGUCCCUGUCUCUUAUAC